AUAAUAUUUAUUUAUUUAUUUAUUUAUUUAUUUAUUUAUUUAUUUAUUUUUAAAAAGGAAAUACAUUGCUGUCACCAGUGUAUGGGGAAGUAGGUUGACAGGAGAGCCAAAAUAGCCUGUCCACACCUCCUGUCCCUGACAGCCCUUGUGCAACUUAGGGGCCUCUGUGCUUCCACCUUCCUCCUAUCCUCAGACAUGCGUUUGACCUUUAUGGGGCCAGAUUUCUGAAAUGACCGAAAGCAAUACGGACACCCAGUCAAUAGGCACGGUUGUUGUGCUUGUUUCGUAAUCUGAAUGGAGGUAGGACGUGCUCUUGGGCUCACAAAGCACCAAAAUGUAUCCGCCAACCAGAACUAAUUCACAAUAUGAAUUAAUUAAUGAGAAAUAGAAGCCAGAUUAGGAUAAAAAUGAUGUGAUUUUUCACCCUUUAUUGUAUAUUGCUCCUCCCUGUUCUCAGAACAGCUCAAAAGGAGUUGCAGGAACUGUGAUUUGCAUUGCUUGGUCUUGUUUAUACAUGUUGUUAAACCACUCUUCAUGCGGGUUUAGUUACACCCUGUACUGACACCCAUAAUAAAUGCAGGAUUUUAUGAGGCAGCGUAGGAAAUGCAGAGCCCUAAGUACUAGGGCUUUCGCCAUAGAUAACAGAACAGCUCAGAUCGGAGUGAGCUGCAACACUCCCCUCUUUCUCUUCGUAGAUUAAAGAUGAUUGAUCGCUCAGGCUCACCCUUUGUAUCACAGAGGUCAGAGCAUUUCAGCCAGGGAUUCCUGCAGCCAGUGCAGAUGAUAAGCACUAUGUGUUUUUCCUGGAGCACAGUACAGAGUGUCAGGCUUCCAUCCUACAUGCACGCUGCAAACAUGACUCCCAGCCUGAAUCCUCAGACCCCGCUGGGUUAACUACAAAAAAUUGCUGCUAAGUGGUAAGCAGCCAAAAAGUGCUUUAACCCUUCCAGAGAAGGCCCAUAUCUGUAUUCCUUUUGAAAGAAUGUUGUUAUUUCUAAAUAAAUCAUUGUACUUUUGUUAAAUGCUUUAUGAA
rnacentral:lncRNA from 1 species